GAUGAACGCUGGCGGCGUGCUUAACACAUGCAAGUCGAACGGAAAGGCCCAAGCUUGCUUGGGUACUCGAGUGGCGAACGGGUGAGUAACACGUGGGUGAUCUGCCCUGCACUUCGGGAUAAGCCUGGGAAACUGGGUCUAAUACCGGAUAGGACCACUUCUUGGAUGUUGUGGUGGAAAGUUUUUUCGGUGUGGGAUGAGCUCGCGGCCUAUCAGCUUGUUGGUGGGGUAAUGGCCUACCAAGGCGUCGACGGGUAGCCGGCCUGAGAGGGUGUACGGCCACAUUGGGACUGAGAUACGGCCCAGACUCCUACGGGAGGCAGCAGUGGGGAAUAUUGCACAAUGAGCGCAAGCCUGAUGCAGCGACGCCGCGUGGGGGAUGACGGCCUUCGGGUUGUAAACUCCUUUCGCUAGGGACGAAGCGUUUUGUGACGGUACCUGGAGAAGAAGCACCGGCUAACUACGUG
rnacentral:rRNA from 1 species